AUUUGGUUUGGACUCUAUGAAGCAGGGACGCUUCGCUGAGUUAUCGUGUCCGCGUGUUGGGCACAUUUCGGACACGACACUCACUGACACUCAUUCGACAC